rnacentral:lncRNA from 1 species
CUGAUACAUGUAGAAACUGUCAAACUGCUACUCUUUCCCUUUUUGUUUUCUUGAAUUUGUGACUUCUGCUAAAAUUAAGAGAUUGGGACAGCAUAAAUCUGUUUAUUUAACUGUCUCACCCUCAGAAAAAAUAGUAUGCUUGUAUCUUUAUUUCAGGCUUUCCAUUAAGGAUGUGCACUGCUGUGGACAGGACUUCAGUAACUAGGGAAAGUUGACACUUCAGAAAAAAUGUUUAGCUGCCCAGGCAAAGACAAACAAGAAUAGUGCAACUUCUCUGUGUUUUUCAGCUGAAAUAGCACUGUAGCCUCUUGCCACACCAAAAGCAAGACCCCGUGGACAAAUCAUCAUCAUUUCACAACACGGAAAGAGGAGGAGGAGGAGGAGGAAGAGAGAGAAAGAGAGAACUAAACCCCCUGAAGGAUGGUUCUCAAAAAAUUCUGGCGGAACCACGGGGGACUCCUCGGCGAGCGGGAACCGGCCGCGGAGAUGGCCGAGCCCGGAGGUGUUUGAUGAGCAGAUUGGGUCUUUAUCUCGGCGCUGGAGAGCAGGCAGGCUCGUGGGGAGACGCUGGAGCUUUACAGGAUUUCUGGUGUUUGUUUGUUUUCUUUUGCUGAAAUCUGGCUGCCUUCUUACUGCUCUGUAAAGAAUUUUGUAUCGGCUGAGUAUGUUUCUGCUGUAUAUAUGGUUUUUCAUAUCAUCAUAUUAAACAUAUUGAGAGUUAAGGAGAAACUAUUUUAAAAUAAUCCCCUCUUUCAUUUGGUAUGUUUACCAGCAGCACUCCCUAUAAAAAUACAUAUUCAUGCCAGAUUCUUCUGUUAUCCUUCCCAGGUCAGACCGAACAUUAGAAGCGCAAACAAUUUUUCUUUUGCUAUCCCCAUGCCCAUUCCUAGGGAUUUGUUUAGUUGCUGUUGGUGAGGUGACCAUUCUCGAACUAUUUCCCUCUGUGAUUUAAUUAAACAUGGCCAAA